UGGUUUUUCGAGACAGGGUUUCUCUGUGUAGCUUUGCGCCUUUCCUGGAACUCGCUUUGGAGACCAGGCUGGCCUCGAACUCACAGAGAUCCGCCUGGCUCUGCCUCCCGAGUGCUGGGAUUAAAGGCGUGCGCCACCACCGCCCGGCUCGCCAUUUGGCUUUUUACAAACAUACAACUAAUUCACUCUACAAAACACACAAGUUUAAUAUAGACCGUAAAAUUCUCAUUAUCUAUGCUCAGGGGUGUCUGAAAAUUCAUUUAACAUUAUCUGACUAUUAAAUAACACUAUUUUCCUAUAAAAGAAACAAAAGUAAAAGAAAGUCAGAAGUAUCAGCUUCAUUCAUUAAAUUUAAAUAGAGAAUCUCUUCCAGUUAAUGUACAGGACUAUACUUUAAAAAUUGAGUUCUGGUUUGUACAGGGAUGGCUCUUCAAGUUUUAAAUCUUCUAAGAGAACAAACAUGAGUUCAGACCUUUACAAAUCUUUAGCUCUCUGGAGAGUUAGUCCAUAUUUUCUCAUAACAAAACAAUUCUGAACUAAAAUAAAACUGAAUGUGGCUUUCUCUUUUUGUUUUAGUAUGGUUAUUUUUUGUGACAAUAAGCAUUUGGAAAUUCUUUACUUUUGGGAUAAACGAACAAAUCAAUACUCCUAAGCAUCGAACACUUAAGUUGAUUAAGUUUUGCAGAAUAUAAAAAUCUUUCUUGAUGAUUUGCCUUCAUUUCUCUACUGGUACUUAUCAAAGUUCACGGUAUUAAGAAAUCAUGGUCACAUAAGUAUUUGUAUCAGCAACAAUAAAUAAUAAGCUAUUCCUAAGUUAUACCACCUUCUGACAUAUGCUCCUCCUCAUUGCAUUAUGAAGCACAACUCCUAACUUGAAACAAGUAACUGGGCAAUCCUUAAAAAGUAUACAGUAAGACUUAAUCAUGUUGGCUGAAAUGAGUAACAUUUAUUUAUGAAAGAAAAUAUGCUAUGUCAUUUUCAUACACCUUAGAUGUGAACAUAAAGUAGAUCAUAAAUACAGGGAGAAAAGAUUUUAUAUUACUAAAAUAGAAUAAAUGGAAAUUCAGAAAGCAUCAAACAAACAUCAAUUGUAAAAGUUCUCUGUCAGCGUGAAACAAAUUCCUCAAGUACAUUAAUUGGGAAAUCAUGACAAUCAAAUAUAUUAGCAAAUUAAUACUGUAAAACUGGAGUUACAGAUGGUUAUAAGCCCCUAUGUAGGAGUUGGGAACCAAAUAUGGGUCCUCUGCAAGAGCGAUAAUUCACUUAACUUUUACUUAACUACUGAGACAUCUUUCAAGAUAACAACUAGUGUAUUUUUUAAAUUGAAAAAAAUCUAUUUUAUAAUUUCCCCACAGAUUCUUCUUAUAUCUCUUUUUCUCCUUCAGGGUUGAAAUUAAGGCAAGUAACAGAAGAUAGAUUCCAAAAUUUAAGUUGGGACUUAGCUUCAUUAUGCCUUUACAUUUCUUAAUCUUUACAUUUUUAUAUGAUCCUUACUAAGUACUAGAAAUUAUAUCACCUCUAGCACUGUUUUUAUUAUUUGAUUUUGGGCUCAAUAUGAGUUUUAUUUUCCAUUUUACAUUAUAGCCUUGAAAUUCUUUCUCUAAUUUCAGGUAUUGUUAUUUAUAGGUGAUUUAAGGCUAGAUAUUUUUAUACAACUUAUGACGUGAGCUAAAUGUGCACUAGUGACAUGACCUUGUCCUUUGAUCUGAGGAACACACUUAGGUUCACAGGCCUCCCAUCUGGUAAACAAGAAAGCAAGGUCUAAGGACAUCAAGAAAAUACUAACAGUUUCAAUCCAUGGCAAUCAAGUCCCCUCAAAAGGUCCCCAGAAAUGUUUGCGCUGCCUUGGCUGUCAAAAUCAUCCUCUUAAUAGGAAAGGCUAACUCACUCUGGUUAGUAUAUGGUUAUUGUGGCUAACGAAGCAUGGGCAAUAUUGUUUUAUAUUUAAUGACCAAAGUGUGAUUAUAAUGAUCAGAGAUUUCAUCCCAGCAAUAUUUACUUAAGUGGUGUGGAUGAUGGUGAAAAGCUUCCUACAGAACCCAGCUUCCCAAAGCUCACGUGAUUCUCUCUUCUUUUUGCAAGGGCAUUUCUCAAGACUAGUAUUCCACCAUUUUUAAAACAUUGAUUACAAAUUCCAAUCAAACACCAGGGUUUUUAUUUUCCUAAUCCUACAAAUACUUUACAGAAUACAAGAAUAGUUUAUAAUUUUAUCCCAAUUUUAUUUUAUUAUUAUUUCCUCCAUUGCAAUCUUAUAAAUAGGAUUUAUAUUUUUAUAAAUAUAUAUUUCUAUCACUUAACUAAGAAAUGUUAUCAUCCAGCUAAGAAAUCUGCACAAAUGUUCUUGUAGAAAACAUGCAGCCAUGCACACUAGACAGCAUUAGCCUUAUACCACUGUCAAAGUUGCAAAAUUAUUUUGACAAUAUUCUGCAUAUGCAAUAUACCUCAAACAUUUACAUUAAAUAUCCUUUAAAUGUUUGCAAUCAUAUGCUACUAAAUUAUCUCCAAAAGUAGAGACAACUUUACAAGGCAUAAUUCACUUGGAGAAUGUGUCCCUUCAUAAGAUGGCUCCCAGUGUUCCAUGUUUCAAUCCUGUCUAUUUUCCGUUUAAGAUGGGUCCUGCCCCUUUACUGAACCUUUAGGUGAGUAUCUUAGAGCUGUUUGAUUUGUGGAUGUUGUUAGAUCAAUCUUCAUGUCCAAAUGAAGAUGGGCUCUCUUCACAGAUUUUAGCAUUUUGACUCAGCAUCUUUUUAAAUGUCAAAAGCAGAACUACUCUGCACUGAGAAUGUUUACUCAAAUAAUGUGCAAUUGUAUAAUCAUUCACUAUGGAGAGAGAAAUGGCCUCAGCAGACAAUAGAUCCAGAUGAUCAUGCUAGGUAUGCUUCAGCUAUUAUCACUUGCUUUUUCUUUUUACUUAGUAUACUGUAAUAUGAAUGUUUGCGGGGGCAUAUAGUUCUAUGAAUUCUUAAGCAUCUGUAGCUCCAAGCAAAAAGCAGUAUAGCAAGCAAGUUGUGUGUCAUGCUAAUUUUCUCUUGUUGAUUCUGGCCACUUCUCUUCACCUUUAACACCUGACAACUAAUGACCUCAUCUGCAUUAUAAUUAUAUACUAUAUAUAAUUGUAACAUCUUACACAUGGAAUCAAAUGGUUUGCAAUUUGGGGGAAGUACUUUUAUUUUUUUUUAGUUGAAUCUAAUUUAUUGCAUUAUUAGUUCAUUUAGCAUUUAAAAAGUGUUUCAGGAUAGCACACUGGCUUAGUAGCUAAAAAUGCUGUCUAAAAUGUGAGUUCCUAGGAUACAAUUGGGGAAAGGAGAGAAAUGACUCUGACAGGUUGUCCCCUUCCCACGACACAAAGACAAACUUGGCCAUGUAUGUGCACACACACACACACACACACACACACACACACAGACACACACACACACAAAUAAGUGUAAUAAAAAAUAAAAAUUAUUUCAUUUUACAUGCAUCUAGCUGUUGAUUUACUUAAUGAUAUCUAGCUUGACUCCAGUUUGGGAGAAAAGUUUCUAUAAAUAUCCACAUGCAAAUAUUUGUGACAAUAAUAUUAAUCUUUGAGGGGAAAUCUAGAAAUAAACAUUUUAGAAAUUAAAAAAAUAUGUUCUACUUCAUAAGAAAUUGCCAUUUUUCUCCAGAAUAGCUAUAUAUUUUUGCGUCCCCAAAAGAGUGUAAAAUAUAUUUAAUUACUGUUAACCAUUUUGUUUAAUAAAGGGCUAUGUAGUAAUGCUUAAAUUGAACUUAAGUUGAAACUCCUUAUUGCUAUUAUUGUGUGUGCCUUUUCAUGUGCAUGUAGGUCACUAAUACAAUAUAAUGAAUGGAUUGUUCAAAUACUUUUUAUUAUCUUGUCAUUUAAUUUUGAGAGUAUAUAGUACUAAAAAGUAUUCCCCAAAUCGGUGACCUGUCUUUAAAUCUCAUCAAGUGUCAUUAGCAAAACUAACAUAAUUUGACAAAGUUCUAUCUUCUCUGGAUCUUGGUUUUUGGUUGUGUUUGAAAGUUCUGCUUAAAAACAAUAAAGAUUUUUUUGCUGUUUCCUUUUUUUCCUGGACUUUAUAGUUUAAUGUUUUAAUUUAGAAUUGUGAUUCUCUCUCUCUCUCUCUCUCUCUCUCUCUCUCUCUCUCUCUCUCUCUCUCUCUCUCUCUCCUCUCUCUCGUGUGUGUGUGUGUGUGUGUGUGUGUGUGUGUGUGUGUGUGUGUGUGUGUACAAACUGUGAAAUGUUGAUCAUGGUUCAUUUCCACUGAUGUACUAUUGAAUUGACUCGUCAUUUUUGUCAAAAAUCAAUUUGCCAUAUUUGUGCAGGCUGACUUCUGAGCAGUGUCUUUUGCUCCAUUGAUCUUUGUUUCCCUUCUUGGAAUAAUGCUGCAGUGUCCUGAUUAGUACAGCUUCAAUACAGCAGUGUGACUCCAUCUUAAGGCUUCUUUUUGGACAUUGAUUUUGCUCAUCUAGUUCAAGUGUGUUUCUGUACAAAUUUAAGCAUUACCAUGUUUGUAUCUACAGGGACUCCUUCUACAAAUUGAAUGGAAUUAGGGUUUCUUUAUUGAUUGCUUGGGGAAGAUUGACGUCUCUACUGUCUUCUGUGUUCUGAUACAUACACAUGAGUUGACUGUCCAUUUAGCCCUCUGGAUACAGAAAAGGAAAUAGUGAGUGAAAAUGAAAGCAGGUCUUUCAUUAUUUGUAAACAUGAUAAAGAAAUCAACUAAUUGGGGGUCGAGGUAACAUACACACACCUGUUUGCUAAAAGCCACUGGCUCUCUGCACACUGCAAAAUUCUGCUGGAGGUAGAGUUAAAUUUAGAUGCUCAGGAUUCAGACACAAUGUAGAAAAAGUUUGAAAAAUUCCUUUGAAUUGGGGACACGAGGUUGAUUGUACACAUUGAUGCCAGGGGUUUAAAAACAAAACAAGUUGAAUGCUUCCUUUAAUUCAAAGGCACUGCUUUCCACACUGCUAACAAGCAUUCUUUUUGCAGCAGACUAAACACCAGGGAGUGUUAAGAGGAAAAUAAUUCAUUUUCAGCCUUUUCAUACAGACUUUCCUUCUGAUAGCUUUGCCUUCCACAGAAUAUAUGGUGCGGUUCUUUUUACAUUGCUGAAGUCGGCAACAGCAUUUUAAGUCACUACUUAUAAAGUUAUCCGACAGCAUCCAUGGCUUUGGAAUUUCUAAAGUGCAUGAAGCAUGGCAAUAACUGCAUUUAUCAGUGGUUUUCAGAAUAAUACAUUUUAUACAAGUAUGGUAUAGUAGACAUUUGUGAUUUGUUACUAAAGGGAUAAUAAAACACUGGAUAUUCUCACCAUGCUAAGCAAAAGUCUGUGUCCUUUAAAGUAAGAAAAUGGGAAUGGUUAUGCCCUGUAAAAGAAUUUUGCAUCCACCACUCAAUGAGUAUGACUUAGACUUUUAAAGGAGAUACAGUGCUGUGUUAAAAUCCUCUGCAAAUGCUAACUGUUCUAUAAAUGACACUGAAAACUUUAGUAAUUUAGGUGCCAGAAUUUAAUUAUGCAAUUUAUAGACCUUUAAGAAAAUCAUCCUUGACAAGAGUAAAGUUGAGAUAAUCAAAAGGUAAGAUGAGUGCUAUUUUGUUAUCUGAAGACAGAUGCAAUGUAGAGAAUGCAGCUCGUUCCCUUUAUAUGUUUGCUGGUUGAGUACUGAAACCCAGGGACACUGACAGAUCACUAAAAGCUAGAUGUGCUUCCUCUUUGGCAGUGGUAUAGCACUUGCUGUUACUGGACAUCAUGCAAGAAAUAAUAUCAUGGUUGAUGGUUUUUCUUCUAGCACCCUCCCACCUCCAUUCACUGCACUCUCAAGCCUUUCUUCCUCUGUGAGUGCAGUAAAGGUGGCAGGGGGAAGUUCAGAGUUCUUUCUUUUCUGCCUUUUGUUAUUUCUCAGGCAGACUCCUUGUCUCUGGAGACUGGUUUCUCCCCUGUCUGCUUUCUUUCCAUCUCUCAAAAGAGGACUGAAGGAGUGUUUCCUCUAGAAGUGACACCCAAAGUGGGUUCUCUGCAACUGAGACUGCAGGACUAAGAACUCAAACAUUACAUGUGAUCAGCAGAGAGUGAUUGCAACUCUGAAAAACAUUGGCUUUUUCCAUUGGCACCAAGGCUUGUAGAGACAGGAAGAGAAAAGUAAAGGAGCUAAAUCGGUAAUCGUAUUUUACUUAUCACCACUGUGAAUGCUGAACCUUUUGAUAGAUGAACAUUCCCUCAGAAUCAGAAUUCAUUACUUUUAAGGAAUUUGGAAAGAAACAUUUUUGUGAACUAAAUUGUAGAUUCAAACCAGUUUUUAGUAGGCUAAUUCACUUAGGAAUUGAGGAGAUGCUGUGAAAGCCUAUGGCACUGUUUGAGUGUCUGUUUCUGGCGUAUUUUUGUAUGUUUGGCAGUGGUGGAUUAGGAGUGCUCUGUCUUAUGUUAGGAUCUACGAAACAGUAUUAUUGGGUGUUUAUUAUUCAUUCAUCUCAAUUGCCAGAGUAGACACACUGGAGUUAUUGUCCACAUUCAUUUUAAACAGAGAAACUGCUGCUAAGGGACUGCCACAGAGUCGCCUGUCAUCUACCCAAUUCAUUUCCAAGCAGUGACACUUGGCAGAGGCUUGCCAUGACUCUCCAAUUCUAUGCUGUCUCUCUCAGAUAAGGAUGGGAAAUAAUGCGCCAUCUCAAUAUUUUUAGAAAUAAGUUAAUGAGAAAUUAAUGUAACUUUCCUUAAAGGUCUUUUAAAAAUUACUGUUAUAUACUAAGCAAAAUAGUACUAUUAUCAUCCCUAAAAUGUGACUGUGCACUUUCAUGUUAAAUGAUUUUAAUAUACUGAAUACAUAUACACAUAUAUACAAAAUUUUAAUAACUAGAUUGUUUUUCUGUGACUAGUAACUUAAAAGGAUCAUAGUGAUCAUUUAUUAUCAAAACUCAAAUGCAUGCAUUAGGCUUAACCAUAUGAUUACCUACCAAAAUUAUACUGAAAGAAAUUGUUAGCACAGGAAAUUCUAAGUAUUUACAUUAGAAAUACAAAAGAAAUUUAAGUCAUUAUGUUUAACCAAUAAUUAUACAAAAUUCUCAAGUGAAAAUAUAAUAAAAAAGAGGAGCUGAUUUCAUCUGCCUAUUUUGUCAAGAUUCUGAGGUUAAAAGCAUUAAGAAUGUAAUGAUUUUCUGUUAAAUAUGGUUCAGUAAUCUUAUGACUCAAAAUAUUAAAUAAUCUGUCAAAAGAUAAGAUUAAUUAUUGUUUUGAUAUAGUUGCAUUUUGUAAAUGAGAACAAAAAAAUAAAAGGAAGAAUUCUGUGGUUCUUGUGAUUUUGUAUCAUUAAUUCAUGUUAUCAGUAUUACAGGUGAAUUCCAAUUCUUAUUUAAAUAAAAAAAAGUUUAAGACUGAGGAAAUCCAAUGUAAAACUGGUACAUGGAUUUCUGUUUAUGUUCCUUUUCUAACUUUCCAUAGGCAUAGGGAAUUAAUUAUUGAUAAGUAUAAACAAGUUAGCCAACUCAUUGGUCAAUGCAUUUUACCAUGGCUGGUAAAUACUUAGUGGUAAUCUAAAGUCUUCAACCUUCCUUAUGUGCUGGGGAUGUCUUUCUGUAUGCUGUGAAUUGUUGCUCUGAUUGGUUAAUAAAUAAAAUGCUGAUUGGCCAGUAGCCAGGCAGGAAGUAUAGACAGGACAAGCAGAGAUGAGAAUUCUGGGAACAAGAGGGCUGAGUCAGGAGACGCUGCCAGCCACUGCCAUAAGAAGCAAGAUGUGAAGGCAGAACUGGGAAAAGGUACCAAGCCACGUGGCUAAACAUAAAUAAGAAUUAUGGGUUAAUUUAAGUGUAAGAGCUAGUCAGUAAUAAGCUUAAGCAAAUAGCCAUACAGUUUGUAAAUAAUAUAAGCCUCUGUAUGUUUACUUGGGUCCAAGUGGCUGUGGGACUGACUGGUGUGUGAGAGAGAUUUGUCCUGACCACCAGCAGGCUGGACCACAGGAAAACUUUAACUACACUUAUGGGCUUGAAAGGUAAUUUUUCUGUUAAACACAAACAAGUCCCACAGUGAUGCAGAAUUUUGAAUUUCCAAAAUGUUAAUGCAUUAGAUCAAAUUCCUGCUUUAAAACAAGAGUAAUUUAAGACCCAAUUGUGGAAAAUGAUAAAAUAUUUAAACAAUGGUGGGCUUUUGUUCAGAAAGCAGUAUGACAAAACAGGAAGUAUUUCCAGAUUUGAACACAUUGUUAAGUAGUCACAGGACAUUAUUGAAUUAAUAGGAUAUCAUUUUUCUCUAGCAUAUAGUAGGAAGUAUAAAAUUCAGCAUCUAUGAUUCAAGAAGAAUAGUCUCCUUGAGUUAGGUAGUCAUAUAUGAAAUUAAAAUCAAAUAAAGUUUCUUUACUAAUAUUAAUAUUGGCAAGGAAAAGUGAAUAGUCAUAUCUCUUCUUUUUAUCAGUGUCACUUAAAUAUCCAGUCCUAAAAGUGUGUAGGUUUUACUUUGCCUGGUUAUUUUAAUUCCAAGAAAUUUCUUCCUCUAGGGCAAGAACUGCCCUGAUACGAUGACAGUUACUUAAUAAAACAGUAGCUCAGAUUGCUUGAACUCUAGUUUGAAAUUUUAAGCUGCUAGUUUCACUUCGUUGAAAACUGCUUAGAAUUCAUAUGGUAUAAAUUUACUUACACACACAUAACUUAAAAUGAACAAACAAAUAAAAUCCUCAAUUUUGCUGAGUCAUUAAUGCCUCACAACAGCUUUUGACCCAUGGCUCGUAACAUUUUUAAAAGCAAAAUUCUAUCCAAAUCCUGCCAUGUCCAUGGAAUCCUAAGCUGUCCAUAGCCACCUUUAUGCUUUAGCAAUGGGACAGAAUGAUUAUGAGAGAUUGCUUUAAUCACACACCCAAAGUGUUGGUCAUCUAGCCUUUAAGAAAAAAAAAGUCUUAGAUAUAUCUCAAUUUUUAAUAACAUGAUUUAAGCAUUUACCAUUUAUUUCUGUACUUAAAAAUAGUAAGACAUAUUGAUAUUUGCACUAUUUUAAUUAAGUUAUAGCCUAGAAAAACAAAAAUAAAUCACUUUUUUUCUCUCUAAGACAUAGAUGUUGCUCAUAGUGUGUACGUUUGAAAAGCACCUGACUGAAUAAACUGCUCAUAUUUUUAAAGUGGAACCAAGUGCUAGGUGAUUUUUAGUAUGUUUAUGUUCAAUUCCAAAGUACUUAAAACCAUACAAACAGUACCGCCAUGGGAGCACCUGAAAAUGAAAUGCACUUAGACACACAAGGCUUCCUGAAGUAUAUUACAAAUUCCUCUAGAGAGCUCUUAUGGGAAGAGUACGUAACUGGGUUUUUGUGUUUUUUUUCCCCCAGUGACAGUGCUCUCAGCUCUGUUACUUCAAAGAACGUUCUGUCUCACAUCCAUGUUUGCUCUUUUGAUGCUGUGCUUCAUUCCCCACUUGACAAGGUGAUAAUACCACUGUGCAGCGACCCCCUCCAAGUCCAAUAUUUCCAGUCACCCUCACCUAGAGUAACAAUAAGGACACUAUCAUUAGUUUUUGAGAUGGAAAAUACUAUCUGUGGAGCUGACCGAAAGUAAGUACUGUGAAUCAAACUUCUUUUGAUUCAGAAUUUCUACUCAGGUCAUACAUGACUCAUCUUUUAUGUGUAUUACACUUACUAUUCCAUCCCAGUCUUUUAUAUUUAUCAUUGUUGUUUGUAUUUUAUGGACUUAUGAUUUUUAUCCAAGGAAUAAUUGUUAAUCAAGCAUCACUUCUUUUCCAAUGCCAGGCUAUACAGAUUCAAAUGGCUUUGCUCCUACAAUGGUUUUGCUUUGAAGACGCAGAAAUAAAAACAUGGAAAUCUAUGAGUCGGUUUGGUUAAGAAUGAAAAAACCAUCAGCAAUUCUGUGGUUAAAUAUGAGAAGCAUAGACUGUUUCUGGAGUCUCCAAUUUGGAAAUAUUUCUACUAUACAGGGCAAGCUAGAGAAAGAAGUCAUGACCCUGUGUUCUACAGCAGUUCUGGAAAUGUUCAAUGUACUGUGUACAUAUGAUGUAAAGAAUUUUUCUCCAAAUUGAUCAGAGGUUCAGGAACUAAGAAGUAGUAAUUCAUAGCACCAGUUAUCUACACUGUAUGGUAAUCUGAUCGACUAUGGUCUCCAACAUAAUAUACUAAAAAGCAUAAGAACUCUGAAUUUUACAUCAGAUGAACUUUCUGUAUACAUAGAAGUUCAUUCACCGAUCCUGGAAAUCCCUGAUUCAGCUAGAUUUAAGUGGCCAGCAGUCACCAUCAACUACCCUGUGUCUGUCUGAAUAGCACUGGGAUUACAGCUUUUAUUCUUUCAAGCCUCCUUAUCACUUGAUAUGAACCUUGCAAAUAGCACUCGGAUAACAAGAAACCUUUUUGCUGCAUUAACGCACUUUCUUCUAUAAGAAUAUAUUAAAACUGACUGCAGUCGGAACUGGAGGAGAACACAGACAUUUAAAACAAAAUCAAGCAAGACAAAAAUCAGGAAAGCCUGUCAUCAGAAAGGUGUCCCUACCUUUUCCCUUCUUCUCAAUGAGGGAGGACUACACAGAACACCUGUUGAGAAGUCUGCGAGACUUAACUUACUUUUUUGUUUUGAUUUGUUUUCUUGAGGUGGGGGCUCAUGUAUCUCAAGCUGUCCUCAAACUCUAUGUUACCAAGAAUGACAUAGAACUUCUGACUGAUCUCCAACUUCAUCUCCCUACAGCUGGUAUUAAAAGUAUGGGCUUGUCCCUAGUAAACCAAGAUUAACAGUUAUGCUUCAGAAUUUGUCAAGAUUACUAUAUGAAUGUUAUGUUUUACAUCACCACACAAAAUAAUACACAUGGAAAUAUCUGCAAUGGAAAUGAUGUUAUGUUUACACAGUAGUCUACCUUACCUACUAAAAAUCUGUGUUCCUAUUCUUCAACACAACUUCUAUACCUUAAAAUAAAUACAAUUUUACAAAAACUUUAAUGUAGUACAGUGAUUCCUGUGCUGUUAUAGAUAUUUUAGUCACAUAUCUAUAGUCUAAAUACUUUAUAUCUUGAUUUUGUUUAUACAAAUUCACAAAAUUUAAUAAAAAUAAAAUCUCUUUUCACAAGUCUUUGUUAAUAAAUAUACAUACACCUAUAAUGAAACAAAAACUGAGAGCAUGAACCUUGGGUCCAGCAAUAAAAAUACUUUCUGACUGAAACCAGUUUUUACUCUAGCUGGAAUGUGAGGCUUCCAGUCCCAAAGUUGCUGUAUUUCAUAUCACCUUAUUGUACAAGCAUAUUGCAGCACAGUUAUGAAAGUUUGUUUAACCCAUUUGUAAAUGGAUACUAAGCACUUUCAAAGCACCAUGCAAGAUACUGGAAAAGAAAGAUGAAACAGAGCUACUAGCUGUUGAUCCAACUUGAUUUUGUGAAAUAAGAGUCUACCUUUAGGAAAAGACAUGAAAUUAGUAGCAUAUUUACUUUUCAGGGUAAAUUACACACACGCUAACAAAUGAGCUUGAUGCAAGAUUAUGGAAUUCCUGCAGACUUUCAUCACUCCACUUGAGCACAAUGUGUUUGCAGCACUAUCAUUAAGGGAAAGAAAAGGGGUAGGGAUAGCAGCUUGAUAAUUUAUUAUGGUUUUCACAGUAAGUAUCAAUAAGGUACAUUUCCAAGGAGAUUAUCAGGAUUUUAUAGCCCAUCCUUUAAAGGACUGCAAAAACAUGAUGGGGGAAAUAACUGUUAGCACUUUAAGUUGAGAUUUUUUUUUUUAAGACAGAAAUAGCAUAGGAAAUUGAGACACUUUGGGGAAAAAUUGCAAACUCAAAACUAAAGUCCAUUUUGUAUUUUGGUGGAACAAAUUAAGAUUCUAGAAGCAAAAGAAUAUCAAGACAGUCUUUUAUUUUCUGCUUAAAUUAUGUGAGGGGUUGGAUAGUAUUUGUGAUUUCCUUGGCAUGAGUUUUACUGUUAGGGAGGAGCCAUCGUUAUCCUCCAUAACCAAUGACCAGCUUCAAAGGUAAUGUUGUUAACAGAGUAUAAGCACCAUAUCCCUCCCAAGCUUUUGAUAUUUCUAUUCAAGAGUGCUCUUCACUAGUCUGACUAAGAAGCCAGACUUGUUGAGAAUUUUACUGUACCAACUUGAUUUUAUGAUUUUUUUUAAAGUUGGAAACUAGAUGAGAAUUCAACUCACAGCCCUUAAAGUAGAUGACUAAAUAUUAGCCCUUAAUGACAACCUUGCCAUUGGCGUAAAUAUAGGAAAACUAUACAAAAUAUUUCUGAUUCCAAAAUGACUACAGCACAUCUAUAAAUAAGCAUUUUUAUCAUAAUUCCCUUUAUAGAGAUAUUAGUGAUCAUAAAUAUCAAUUUCACACAAUUAGAGGAAGACAAGUUUUUAUAGUUGAGAAUUUCUUUCAUGUAUUACAUUAACUUUAAAUCCAUGAUAGCAUGAUUACUCAUAUACUACACAAGGUAGAAUUCAAUACUUCAGUUGUCAACAGCAUCAUAGUUGAUGAGUCUGGUUCACUACGCUGUCAUAGGAAAUAUUUUCUGUUAAGUAUUAGGGUAUGAAUGGUCUGUAUUAGCAGGGCUAUGAAGCUUCAACACUAUUUGGACAAUAGUAACUUUACUGUGUCAAGCUUUUCAACACAUAAUAAUAUGGACAGGUGACUUUUCAUUUACUUCAAACUAAACUUCCACCCCAAGUGUCACUUUGGGUUAUGCUGAUUUGCAAACUUCAAGCAUUGCUCAUUAGGGGUAAUUUGUAACAACACAUGCUUAUGAAUAUUAUGAUAACCAAGAAUUAAUAUUUUGGUGAUUCGAGUCAGUAGUGAAUAAAGGGAACCAGAUGGUUACUUAGACCAUCACAGCAUAGUCAUCUUCCUUUAAGAAUCAAUGCCUAUGCUUUUGGCAAUGAUUUUAUUUCCACUUUAUGUUAACAAUAUAUGUUGAUAUAUAGCCUGAAAAUAUACAUGGUUCAAAAAAUAAAUAAGGUGGGAUUCAGUGCAACUUCCUCCCCUGUCAUCAACAACAUAAAAUGAUCUUAUGACUCUUUGGAAUAGACUAUUCAUUCCCUGGUUACUACAGGAAAACCACAAGGAAACCCCUGGACUGAAGAAAUUCUUUUCAAAGAUUUUUCCUGAUCACUAUGACUAACCUGUACAAAGCACUGCAGAAUGUGAUCCAUAUUUCCAACACUUCAGCUGAAAGUUUAGUUCAUGAAUAAAUGGGGCUCAUGUCCCUAAAACACUUUCAAAGCAUAAAACUGAUUUCUCAGGGAGUGAAACUUUGCUCAAAUAGAUUCACAGUACUGACUUGGUGACUAUUCCAUACUCAAGAAGUUAGCUCUUAUUUGGGAUAUAAAUUUCAUAUCAACAUAAAAGAUUUUAGUGGAAUACAAGUCAUUAAAAAGAAUUACUUUUUUUUUGGUUCUACUGUAGGACUCUUGCUAUGGGAAAAAAUGUAGUCCUACAGAUAAAAUAAAGUUUAAAUAUUGACUGCUGCUAUCAUUUUUAAAUCUGUAAAAAUAAACUUUAAAAAAUGCAAUAGAGGUAAGGCAUGCAUUUUAAACUAUUUACACAGGAGGGGAUUCUGAAUAGGAAAUGGUGUGCACACAGGGACAAAGGUGUGGACCAUUUUUAAUUAAUUACUACCCACCCCACGCACAUUGCUGCUGGCCAUGUGGCUUUCAGUUCUCCAAAGGUCUUGGGAAAGCACUACCAGCAACUUUCAAGUGAAGUCCCUUUUACCCUAAA